CACUAGCUUGCCCAGAGUUACUCAGCUAAUAAGCAGCUGAGCUGGGACUCCCACUCAGCAAUGCAGCUCCAGGCCUGGCUGCUAACCCCUUCUUCCUUCUUGGCAGCUGCCUUCACAGAGGAAUUCAAGAGCCACAGAAGUGAAAACAGCCACCGUCAAAAAGAGCAGCAGUUGAAGGGCAAGUGUCUGCCAGCACUAUCUCUUGGGAAUGGAGAGAAAGAGCUGCCAAAACAGGAGAUACGUCUGACAUCCAGACAGCGUUAGCCGACUGGUUCCCAAGUAGGAGUUGGCUGUCCACAGAGAUGCCCUGUGUAGGUGAUAUGAAUCACAAAUACGCUCUGCCUUGAUUAAUCUCUAACAGUCAGAAAGUCGAAAGCUUCUUGUCAUCAUGUUCAAGCUUAGGAGUUUGGUUUUCCGUGGGCAGCUGGCUCUAGAAGGAUAUCACACGACUGUCUCAGGGUCCCCGAGGGAUGUUGUAAAAGCUGUCUGUAUGUGGGUCCCUGAAUUUGAGGUCGUGGGUGUGGAAGGUGAUGCACCAGGGAGUUGGCUCUUAGCUUACUGGGUCAGAUGUUUCUGAGAACCUUCUUCACCAGAGUUUACAGUUCAGUUUCAGAGGUGAAUGAGCCGUUUCAGAUGAUCAAAAAGAUAUGCUCUCUCAUAUCUCCCAGAGAAUAAUCUUUCCUUCCUCAGUUACUUUGAAACUGAAGUUUGCUGCCAGCGUAGGAGCCAAUCCAUUAUAUCAUAAUCAAUGACAUGAAUGUUUUGCUCAAGUUCAG
rnacentral:lncRNA from 1 species